GAGACUCCAGGGGUUUUCAAGGCUGGGAGCCCGCUGAGUGUUCACUGUUCCCACCUCCAAUCUGCUCCAUCCUCCAGCUACAUUUCAUUCCGGAUCUACCAGCAAGAUCCAACUUUACUACCGUCAUGGAGGGAAUUACAGUAAUUCUAUCAACUUUUGAUGCAACCUUCUUCCGACACCGUGUGAAACAGACUGGAAGGACUCUAAAGAUGGAGAGAGCUCAAUGCUUGAGAAAAGGAAUUCUGUUUUUUGAAAGGUCUCUAGAGCAAAGGAGUCUCAUUCUGUCACCUAGGCUGGAGUACAGUGGUGCGAUCACAGCUCACUGCAGCCUCGAUCUCCUGGACUCAACCAAUCCUCCUGCCUCAGCCUCCCAGGUAGUUGGGACUACAGAUACAGAAGAUGAGAGGGAGAAAUUACAGAGUGAUGGAGAAGGCAGACAUCAUGCAACGUGAUCAAGGGCUAUUCAUUUUAAGCAGAAACAUACAUAUGUAGAAAGCACCCUUGUACUUCUAAUACCAAUGACUAUAAAGAAAAAUAGU